GAUGAACGCUAGCGGCAGGCCUAAUACAUGCAAGUCGAGGGGUAGAGUGGUGCUUGCACUGCUUGAGACCGGCGCACGGGUGCGUAACGCGUAUGCAACCUACCUUCCUCAGGGGGAUAGCCUCUCGAAAGAGAGAUUAACACCGCAUAACAUUAUUGGAUGGCAUCAUUUAAUAAUCAAAUAUUUAUAGGAGGAAGAUGGGCAUGCGUGUCAUUAGUUAGUUGGUGAGGUAACGGCUCACCAAGACCAAGAUGACUAGGGGAUCUGAGAGGAUGACCCCCCACACUGGUACUGAGACACGGACCAGACUCCUACGGGAGGCAGCAGUAAGGAAUAUUGGUCAAUGGGGGCAACCCUGAACCAGCCAUGCCGCGUGCAGGAAGACGGCCCUACGGGUUGUAAACUGCUUUUAUACGGGAAUAAUUCUCUGUUCGUGAACAGGGUUGAAUGUACUGUAAGAAUAAGGAUCGGCUAACUCCGUGCCAGCAGCCGCCGUAACAC
rnacentral:rRNA from 1 species